GCGGAGCGGCUCAAUUGGAUAGAGUUUCCCAUCUUACGACAUACUUUGGAGGCGCCAGGGUAUGAGGGGGAAGGUUGCGGGUUCGAGUCCCGCCACCGCU
rnacentral:tRNA from 1 species